rnacentral:rRNA from 1 species
GACGAACGCUGGCGGCGUGCCUAAUACAUGCAAGUCGAACGCAGUGGGGACGGGUGAGUAACACGUGGGUAACCUCCCAUCAGAGGGGAUAACACUUGGAAACAGGUGCUAAACCGAUACUGAUGGAUGGACCCGCGGUGCAUUAGCUAGGUGGUGAGGUAACGGCUUACCAAGGCCACGAUGCAUAGCGGACCUCGGGGGGUGGUCGGCCAAACUGGGACUAAGACACGGCCCAGACGCCUGCGGGAGGCAGAGGGAGGGAAUCUUCGGCAAUGGACGAAAGUCGGACCGUGCAGCGCCGCGUGAGUGAAGAAGGUUUACGGAUCGUAAAACUAUGUUGUUAGAGAAGCGGUAUCUAACCAGAAAGCAACGGCGAACUACGUGCCAGCAGCCGCGGGAAUA